GAUGAACGCUGGCGGCGUGCCUAAUACAUGCAAGUCGAGCGAACAGAUAAGGAGCUUGCUCCUUUGACGUUAGCGGCGGACGGGUGAGUAACACGUGGGUAACCUACCUAUAAGACUGGGAUAACUUCGGGAAACCGGAGCUAAUACCGGAUAACAUUUGGAACCGCAUGGUUCUAAAGUGAAAGAUGGUUUUGCCAUCACUUAUAGAUGGACCCGCGCCGUAUUAGCUAGUUGGUAAGGUAACGGCUUACCAAGGCAACGAUACGUAGCCGACCUGAGAGGGUGAUCGGCCACACUGGAACUGAGACACGGUCCAGACUCCUACGGGAGGCAGGAGUAGGGAAUCUUCCGCAAUGGGCGAAAGCCUGACGGAGCAACGCCGCGUGAGUGAUGAAGGGUUUCGGCUCGUAAAACUCUGUUAUUAGGGAAGAACAAAUGUGUAAGUAACUGUGCACGUCUUGACGGUACCUAAGCAGAAAGCCACGGCUAACUACGG
rnacentral:rRNA from 1 species